rnacentral:rRNA from 1 species
UACGUAGGCGGAAAAUUAAGUCAGUAGUGAAAUCCUGCAGCUUAACUGUAGAACUGUUAUUGAUACUGGUUUUCUUGAAUAUAGUUGAGGUAGGCGGAAUGUGUAAUGUAGCGGUGAAAUGCUUAGAUAUUACACAGAACACCGAUUGCGAAGGAAGCUUACUAAGCUAUGAUUGACGCUGAGGUACGAAAGCGUGAGGAGCGAACAGGAUUAGAUACCCUGGUAGUCC